CCGCCUGUCACCUCUGAGCCCUGCACGGUCACCAGGCCUGCGCAGGCCGCAGUGUGGGCUAGAGUCUCCCAAGCCACCCCUGCCACAGCCCCGCCACGCUGUCCUCUCCGAGUGACAUACUGAGGAUCCGCAGGGGUGUCCUCCGGUACCAGGGAAGUGCUUGUAGCUCCAUCUCAGCCCCAGGUAAAGUUCCUCCUCCGAGCCCGGGGGGCGGGGGAGCGGCCUGAAGCUUCCAGGGAGGCUGGGCUUCGUCAUCAGAACUUCACACACAGGGAUUAUGACAUCGUUGAGCUCCGAGGACCCGGUUGGUUGCCAUGGUUCUCUGAAAGGCACAGGCACCCCACCCAGCUCCCUCAAUGCCUCCGAGUGUCCGAAGUAUCCCCGGAGCCUCUGCGUGGAGGUGCCUCACACCCUAGCUCUUUGGCCAGCUUCCUGGUACAGCUUGUGGCCCGGUGGGUUCAGAUCUCCCCAAAACACAACUGCCUUAGCUCCACGUACAUGGAAAGAAAGCCAGCCAAAAAGAAAAUGUGAGAAGCUGGGGAUGGUGCACACGCCUGUAAUCUCAGCACUAGGGAAGCUGAGGCAGGAGGAUCGCCAAGAGUUCAAGACUGGCCUAAACUACACAGUAGUAAAGAACAUAGCUGCAGACUCACAGGAUGCAGAGGUCUGUUUGGCAUUAACUGAGGGGACUUCCAAGGCCAGAGGGAGGAAGAGGAAGGCGGCCACCACCCAGAAUAGCUCAACUUUACACAAAUGGAGUCAGGUACACAAAUGGAGCCUGGUUGCCUAUCACCCCACUGCCCUCCGGGGAGAGUGGGCCUGCCUUUUACUUUGUUUGUUUUGUUUUAUUUGAGACAAGGUCUAGCUAUGUAGUUCAGGCUGGCCUUGAACUCACCAUGUAGCCCAAGCUGGCGUGGAACUCUUGGUGAUCCUCCUACCUCAGCCUCCCCAGUGCUGGAAUGACAGAUGUGCACCUCCACGCCCAGGUCUGAAGCAUUUUUGUUGUGGAUUUUUUUUAUUUUUGGUUUCCCUGACUUUUCGUGCCGUG
rnacentral:lncRNA from 1 species